AUGCAUACAUACAUGAUGAAAAUGGCAAGCAUAAAUGGAAGCAGUAGCUUCGGCCAUACAACUCGCCGAACCCCAAGAAAAAUGGACACAUUCCUCUUCCUUAUCAUUCUUCCAUUGCUCACCACUCUGCCAUGCUCAUAUGCUCAGUCGAUGCUAAGCACUGGCUCAUCCUUAUUUGUAGAAGAGCAUAGGCAGACCUUCCUUACCUCACCAAAUGAUGAUUUCUCUUGCGGCUUCUAUGAAGUUGGAGAGAAUGCAUUCUCCUUCUCUAUCUGGUUCACCACCACCAUGGAAAAGACUGUUGUAUGGUCUGCAAACCCCAGGUCCUUGGUGAAUGGCCAUGGUUCCAUGGUGUCCCUGAACCAUAAUGGAAACUUGGUCCUCACUGAUGUCAAUGGCACAGUCACUUGGGAGAGCAAGACAAGCUCUGGGGAGGGCACGGUGGUUUCCCUUCUUGACACUGGCAACCUCAUAAUCAAAGACUCCACUGGUGCAAAUUUGUGGGAAAGCUUCUCUUCACCGACAGAUACAUUGCUGCCUUUACAGACUCUCAAAAAAGGUACAAGGCUGGUCUCCAGUUAUUACAGCCUUUAUUUCGACAACGACAAUGUGCUACGCCUCAUGUAUGAUAGUCCAGAAAUAUCAAGUAUCUAUUGGCCAAGUGCAGACUACACAGUGCCUCAAAGUGGGCGGACUAGCUACAACAGCUCUAGGAUUGCAGUCCUCGACACUGAAGGAUUUUUCCUCUCAAGUGAUGGGCUGAAUGUCAAGGCUUCUGAUUGGGGUAAUGGCGUCAAGAGAAGGCUGACAAUUGGUUCUGAUGGAAACCUCAGAAUGUACAGUCUGAAUGUGUUAAAUGGGAGUUGGAUAAUAUCAUGGCAGGCUAUAGCAAAACUGUGCGAUGUGCAUGGGCUAUGUGGAAAAAAUGGGAUAUGUGAGUUCUUGCCAAGUUUCAGGUGUUCAUGUCCCCCAGGAUAUGAGAUGACCGAUCCGCAAAACUGGAACAAAGGUUGCAAGCCACAAUUCAGUAAAAGCUGCAGCAAAGCAGAAGAGUUUGACUUCAUCAAGCUCCCUCAAACCGACUUUUAUGGCUUUGAUCUGACCAAUAAUGUGUCCUCACUUGAAGAAUGUAAAAAGAUGUGCUUGAACAUUUGCUCCUGCUCAGCUCUCACGUACAAGGCGGGAUAUGGACUUUGCUACACCAAAGCUGUACUCUUCAAUGGUUACAGCUCCCCAAAUUUUCCUGGCGAUAACUAUAUCAAACUACCCAAGAAUAUGAGCAUCUCCAGACAAUCUCGUCUCACAUGCAAUCCGGAUAUUCCAGUGCAUGUACAAGGAUCUGCAAGUAUGUAUGGAAUGAAUGAUGUCACCAAGAGUUAUACAAUUUAUUAUGUGUUUGCAACAAUAUUGGGAGCCCUAGUCUUGCUCUUUAUCGGUACAAGCUGGUCGUUUCUUUACAGCAAGCAAAACAUACCUAAGUCAAUGGAAGAAGGCUAUAGGACUGUGAUGAGCCAGUUCAGGAUGUUCAUCUAUAGGGAAUUACGGGAAGCGACUGGAAAGUUCAAGGAAGAGAUUGGAAGAGGGGGUUCUGGAAUUGUUUAUAGAGGGGUACUUGAAGAUAAGAGAGUGGUGGCAGUGAAGAAACUAACCAGCGUUUCACAUAGCGAGGAGGAAUUCUGGGCAGAAAUGAAUAUAAUCGGAAGGAUCAACCAUAUGAAUUUAGUAAGGAUGUGGGGGUUUUGCUCCGAGGGACAACACAAACUGCUGGUGUACGAGUACGUGGAGAAUGAGUCCCUUGAUAAGUUUAUAUUUGGUAAUGUAAGUACUGAGAGAUUACUUGCAUGGAGCCAACGAUUCAAAAUAGCACUAGGAACAGCAAGAGGCUUGGCGUACCUCCAUCAUGAGUGCCUUGAGUGGGUGAUCCAUUGUGAUAUAAAGCCAGAGAACAUACUCCUGACCCGAGACUUCGAAGCAAAGAUAGCAGACUUCGGACUAGCCAAACUCUCAAAGAGAGACAGUUCCAGUUUCAAUCUCACCCACAUGAGAGGAACAAUGGGCUACAUGGCGCCAGAGUGGGCACUGAAUUUGUCGAUCGACGCAAAGGUUGAUGUAUACAGUUGUGGCGUUGUACUUCUCGAGAUUGUGACUGGAAAUAGGAUCUCAAGUGGGAUUACAGUGGAUGGGAAAGAGGUGGAGUUUAGACAGUUUGUGCAUGCAGUUAAAGAAUUGCUGGAGAGUGGAGAUGUCAAGGUUAUAGCUGAUGCUAGACUGAAUGGCCAUUUCAAUCCUGAGCAAGUGCCGGUAAUGGUGAAAUUGGCUUUAUCUUGUCUCGAAGAAAGAAACAGCAGACCUACAAUGAAUGAAAUUGUAAAAGCUCUACUGACAUGUGAUGACGAAGACAAUCACCCAGCCUACUCAUGGUGA
rnacentral:rRNA from 1 species